GGUGGUGGCUUAAUGGUAAAGUGCUUGUCUGGCAUGCUUGAGACCCUGGGAUCAAUCCCCAGCACCU
rnacentral:tRNA from 1 species